UUUUUGAGAUAACUGCUCUGGCAUCCGCAGACCUUGACUCUCCUCCUUUAUCUUAUAGUUUUGUUUAUACUGUUCUACCUUCCUAGGCAGUGGCUCAUUUAACAGACCGUGUCAUUGUAUAAAUGCUCAUAUACUCCGUAACGCCCGGAUAUUUUGGGGAAUUAUGUAUUGAGUUGUGAUAUUUUCAUCCAGUUGUUAUGAGAUUUUUACUUACGUAAACCCAUUUCAUUAUAAUUUGAAUUUAAGAUGUUGGUAUGUAUGAGUUGUCGGCUUGCCUAGUAUCAUGAUAGACGUCAUCACGGCACUUGUGAUUUGGGGUCGUGACAGCAACGAUGAUAACAUUGCUAAUAAUGUUAAUUUUAAUGCAAAAUAAAAGAACCUACCCUUUCAAUUUCAUCAUUUAAGUUGGUGUACUGAUCAUCAAAAUCGGUAAGACAUAAAAAUUGUGAAGAAUAUGAAUAAAUAUUUUACAGUAAUGUGAAAUAACUUGGUUUAGAAUCAAGGUUUGCAUUUCAAUCGGAGUCGAAUUUACGAUAUGAUCUCUUCACCAUAUUAGGUAUUUAUGUACGUACAAAUACCAUUUUGACAUGAUUAUUAAGACGUGCACAUGUUUCGGUACUCUCAAAAUAUUAAUGAACACGAGAUACAUUAAUGCUUUGUUUAAGAAAAUUACAAAUAUUCCAAUCGUUAAAAACACCUAAAAAUACCAUACUCAAAAAAGAAACCUAAAAAUGUACGUGUACGCCGAGUCAUAUAGUAUAUAAUGUUAUAAAACAAUAUCAAUAUUUAAAAAUAAAGCUUUGAGUAAAUAUUUAUGCAUUAAAGAAUAAAACACAAGUUUUUAUUAAUGAUCAAUGUGGAUAGUCAUAUGGUGACUUGUUUGUCAAGAUCAAAAUAAUUGGUUAUGAUUUGAACCUACCAAGAUUGAAAAUCAAGGUUUAUAUUUGAGGAGAAAGAGACGUUUCUUUUAGUAGAAUUGUACGAUUAAUUCAUCGUACUAAUUAAUUUUCCAUCUGAAAGCCGCUUUGCAACUACAUAUGAAGACUACAGUGCUGUUAACUAUGAUGAAACUUGAAAACUUCAUCAAUGUUAUGUUUACUGAGGUUAGAUUGAUACCUUGUUCAGGCUUUGACUUCAGGAGAUGUGCAUUUUGUGUUUGAAAGGGUUAAAUGGAUUAAGAUUUUGCAUUAAUAAUUGAAUUCAGGAGAAAGAAACUUGUGAUUGGAAAGCAGUUAUAUUCUUUAUGGAUCGGACAUACAUAAUUGCCUCGAGCCCGUUGAUCAAUAGAUACAUGCAAUUUCAGUCUUUAAAAAAAACUACUAUUUUACUACUUACUCAUCAAAAGUAAGCUGUCAAAGAAUAUGGAAAGUUGGAGAAAAGAGUACUCACGUGCAUAUACGAGCCGAACUAGUUAAGAUGGAUAUCCCUCUGGUGAGAUGAUAAGAAAUAUAAAGAGCGUGCUAGCAAGUUGUCAAGGCUAAUAUAUAGAUCAAACUAGUUAAGAUGGAUUUAGCUGCACUACCACUUGUAACUAUGAUUUCGGAAGAGCUCAUCAAACCUUCAUCUCCAACUCCAUCUACUCAUUCAUUGCACACGCUCUCUCUCCUUGAACAAGCCCAAACGCAUAUUUAUAUACCCUUUGGUUUAUUUUACUCCAAAGAGCAGCUAGGUGAGAUAUGCAAUGGCCCAUCUCAAAUUUAUCAUCUUCUUGCUAAUUCUUUAUCUAAAAAUUUAGUCUUUUAUUAUCCAUAUGCGGGAAGUCUCAUAGAUAAUACUAUUGUUGAAUGUAAUGACGUUGGAGCCGUGUUUUUCUGGGUAAAAAUUAACUACCCUAUGUCUAAAGUUGUUAAUCAUCCAAAUUCUGUUGUUAAGGAUUUGAUUUUCCCGCACGGCCUACCUUGGGCAAAUGAUUCCUCUCAUGGCUUUGCCAUUGUUCAAUUAAGCUGUGGAGGAAUAACAAUUAGUGUAUGCCUAAAUCACACAAGGUAGGAGACACAUCCGCUGCGCAUUUGAGUACAUAUGUAAGCAGAAAAAGUUAUGUUUCUCUAUUUCUAAAUUACGUUCUCUAAAAGCUUAUGUUACUGAAAAUUCACAAGUGGAAGAUCCAACACGUACUGAAGUCAUUAGUGCAC
rnacentral:lncRNA from 1 species